rnacentral:rRNA from 1 species
GAUACCGCCCUAGUUCUAACCAUAAACGAUGCCAACCAGCGAUCCGCCUGGGUUCCUCAAAUGACUCGGCGGGCAGCUUCCGGGAAACCAAAGUGUUUGGGUUCCGGGGGAAGUAUGGUUGCAAAGCUGAAACUUAAAGGAAUUGACGGAAGGGCACCACCAGGAGUGGAGCCUGCGGCUUAAUUUGACUCAACACGGGAAAACUUACCCGGCCCGGACACUGGAAGGAUUGACAGAUUGAGAGCUCUUUCUUGAUUCAGUGGGUGGUGGUGCAUGGCCGUUCUUAGUUGGUGGAGCGAUUUGUCUGGUUAAUUCCGAUAACGAACGAGACUCUAGCCUACUAAAUAGGCGAUCCCGAUCAACCACGUCGGGCGCUCUUCUUAGAGGGACAAGCGGCGUUUAGCCGCACGAGACAGAGCAAUAACAGGUCUGUGAUGCCCUUAGAUGUCCGGGGCCGCACGCGCGCUACACUGAAGGAAUCAGCGUGUGCUUUCCCUGUCCGGCAGGACUGGGUAACCCGUUCAACCUCCUUCGUGAUAGGGAUAGGGGCUUGUAAUUGUUCCCCUUGAACGAGGAAUUCCCAGUAAGCGCGAGUCAUAAGCUCGUGUUGAUUACGUCCCUGCCCUUUGUACACACCGCCCGUCGCUACUACCGAU